AGUUGCAUCCGGACCCAGGACCUAAAACCGAUAGAUAAUUGAGAUUUAUUUGCAUCAGUCGGUGAAUUUAAACUUUAACCGGCGCAGGUUAUUCAGCCGUUUGCAGUAACUUCAAACAGAAGCUCAGUAGAACCGUUCAGUAACCCGUCCAUGUGUAGGUUAGACUAUUAAGUAACUACCGCCUAUUGAAACCAUUGAAAGCAGUCGAUAUGGACCUCUAGCUGUGUGUUGUUUAGGUGACCUGCUGUGUCGGUGACGGUGGUGAUGGGAGGAGAUCAGAGCCAUGAGAGGACGUCUGAGGAGGAAGAAGAGGAGCCUGAAGAACAUCAAGAAGCUGCUUCUGCUGGAGACACAGCUGGAGAGCUGCCCCAGUGCCAGCUGGGAAACAGGAAGGUGGACAACAUGUGUUUCAUGAUCGCGUGCACCAACUGGUACUAAACUGGUCCUGGUUCCACGUGUUAGUGAAACAGAGGAUUUGAGAUGUUUCUCCUGGGCUAGCUGUUUCCCCCUAUUUCCAGUCUUUAUGCUAAGCUAAGCUAAGCGUACAGACGAGAAUUGUUUUAAUCAUCUCAUCCAACUCUUGGAAAGAAAGCAAAUAAGUGCAUUUCACAAAAAGUCAAACGUUGUGAUGACUUCUGUUCUGAGAGAGAAACUGAAGAGUUUUGCUCAUUUCUGCAGACGCUGACUCAGUGAAAUAAAUAACUCGUUCUGGGAAUAAUGUGGACAAUAAAUCUGUUUUGGGAGUCAGACCCUCUGAUGUGUCAAUGAAUGAAUUAAACUGAGCAGGUAAAUGCACGUAAAGGUAAAAGUCAGGAACGGAGAUGAGAUAAAGCUUCACUGUUUAUAAGAAACAGAGUGUUCCAGAACUUGUGCAUAACUGCUGAAGUAGUGCAUCCUCUGCCCUUGCUAAUGAAGUUAUACACAUAAAGUACAAAGUAUGAAGUACAGUUGAUACCUCUACUGACAUGAGGAGAGAUAUCAACAUCAAGUAGAGUUGGAGGUCAGAGAAGUUGACAAAUAUUUGGAUGCUGAAAGGUUUAAAUUCCUCCACUGGCUGAAGGGAGAAGUGAAUUUGAGCCAAAUCUGCAUGUUUGGCACAUUUACGUGAUGGCUCAUGUUCAUUUAUGUGCAUUGUUCCUUCUUAAAUAUAAUAAACAUUAUUUCAACAGCAA